AUUGAACGCUGGCGGCAUGCCUUACACAUGCAAGUCGAACGGUAACGGGCCUUCGGGUGCCGACGAGUGGCGAACGGGUGAGUAAUGUAUCGGAACGUACCUUUCAGUGGGGGAUAACGUAGCGAAAGUUACGCUAAUACCGCAUAUUCUGUGAGCAGGAAAGCAGGGGAACGCAAGACCUUGCGCUGAUUGAGCGGCCGAUAUCAGAUUAGCUAGUUGGUGGGGUAAAGGCUCACCAAGGCGACGAUCUGUAGCGGGUCUGAGAGGAUGAUCCGCCACACUGGAACUGAGACACGGUCCAGACUCCUACGGGAGGCAGCAGUGGGGAAUUUUGGACAAUGGGGGCAACCCUGAUCCAGCCAUGCUGCGUGAGUGAAGAAGGCCUUCGGGUUGUAAAGCUCUUUCGGCCGGGAAGAAAUCGUAUCAGCUAAUACCUGGUGCGGAUGACGGUACCGGCAUAAGAAGCACCGGCUAACUACGUGCCAGCCGCCGCAGUAAAAC
rnacentral:rRNA from 1 species